AGUACGAGUUAUGUAUUGGACCUUCUAGGCUCUUUGUUUUUUUUUUAGUUUUUCUCUUUCUCUCUGAAUUCCAAUCCUUGAUAUUUGUUUACCUUAUCGAUCCACAGGUUAUUGAUGAACUUUCAAAUGCCAGCGCUGCCGUCACAGGCUAUGAUUGUUUGGCUGACGGUAUGACGAUCUCAUGAUAACACUUGUCGUUGGCGACGGUGGUCUUGGUUGGCCUUGGCAUGACUUGUGAAAAUUCGAAGUACCACUACAAUGACUCAGGAUCAUAGGCUAAGGGAUUGGAUAGUGGCUUGCAACACUGCAGGCCUAAUGCAACUGGAAAUUAUUUGCUCUACAGUUGGAUGGAUGUUCGUACAGGAUAUGACGACUUAAUCAGCAAAGAGAUUUGGCCAGUUAAAAGGCUAAGGCUUCAGUCCCAUGAUUAUAGAAUGACCUCAGUUUGGUUUGAAACGUAAUCAGAUCAAUAGCAUAGGCCGAACCAGCUGUACUAGAUUUUCCAUUGGAAGCUUGUGCACUUCUGUUUUAAUGGCCUGACAUGAUCAACUAUUUUUUGCAUGCACCAUCAACAAUCAGAUUCUUUUUAAGUAUCUCAUCCACGGAAGCACCAACUUUGCAUGACCAGCGUGCCGAAAACCAGCCAUCAGGAACACCAAGGGUAAAGCCAUUAUCCUUGUUGGAGUCUUGCUCACUUGACGCAAAAAUCAAUUUUUGAAUCAUGGUCCAUGCUCAGGCAAGUAUCAGGCUCAAGAAAACCUUUGUAGUUCCCUCUAUUGUCCCACUCUGCAUAUUCAAAAUUCAUUUACAAGGCUUCUGUUAUUGUCUCCAGCCCCUUUCCAAGAACGACAUCAUAACCCUCCAACAGAACACCAACCCUUUCAUCAAAAAGGAGGUCAUCCGGCGGUUCAAAUGCAAGCAUACUUUCAUCAGGUACAAUAAUUGCGGCUGAUGGAAUGUUGUGUUUUCCAGAUUUGUGUUCAUGAACACAAAUGCAAACCUAGUGAAGGCUUAAAUCUGAAUGAAAUAAAGGACCCUGAAUAAUGGAGACGUCAAGCAACUAUCAACAGGCUUCAACCUUUGUUACGGUCAUUGCAACGCUCUCGAUAACUUUGGACAACAACAUCCAGUCGGUGUGGAGGAAUACAGUAGACAUAGGAAGGAUGCUUGUGUGUAUUAUCCAGCAGCCUUGAUCAUCUCACAUCAUCUCCGUCGCAACUCGACCACUGCCACGGAGUUACCUGUUCCAACUGAACACGAC